rnacentral:rRNA from 1 species
UUGACCUCUGACCUCAAAUCAGGUAGGAUUACCCGCUGAACUUAAGCAUAUCA